rnacentral:rRNA from 1 species
AGAAUCAACGCUGGCGGCGUGCCUAACACAUGCAAGUCGAACGAGAAAGUGGAGCAAUCCAUGAGUAAAGUGGCGACCGGGUGAGUAACACGUGACUAACCUACCUUCGAGUGGGGGAUAACCUCGGGAAACCGGGGCUAAUACCGCAUAACAUCUUUGAAGUGGAAAUUUCGGAGAUCAAAGGAGCAAUUCGCUGGAAGAGGGGGUCGCGGCUGAUUAGCUAGUUGGCGGGUAACGCCCACCAAGGCUUAGAUCGGUAGCCGGCCUGAGAGGGCGCACGGCCACACUGGAACUGAAACACGGUCCAGACUCCUACGGGAGGCAGCAGUGGGGAAUUUUGCGCAAUGGGGGAAACCCUGACGCAGCAACGCCGCGUGGAGGAUGAAGUCCCUUGGGACGUAAACUCCUUUCGACCCGGACGAUAAUGACGUUACGGGUGGAAGAAGCCCCGGCUAACUUCGUGCCAGCAGCCGC